rnacentral:rRNA from 1 species
CGCCUGUUUAUCAAAAACAUAGCCUUUAGCCAAACAAAUAUUGAAGGUAAUGCCUGCCCAGUGAAGUCACUUUCAACGGCCGCGGUACCCUAACCGUGCAAAGGUAGGGUAUCACUUGUCCACUAAUUAUGGACCUGUAUGAAUGGCCACAUGAGAAUCUAACUGUCUCUUGUAACUAAUUUAUAAAACUGAUCUUCCAGUCCAAAAGCUAGAAUACCCAUAUAAGACGAGAAGACCCUGUGAAGCUUAAAAAACCCCAUUAAACCUGUUAAUGGGUAUUUUUAGUUGGGGCAACUUUGGAAAACAACUUAACUUCCAAA